AGGGCACCACCAGGAGUGGAGCCUGCGGCUUAUUCCUACACAACACGGGAAAACUCACCCGGCCCGGACACUGAAAGGAUUGACAGACUGAGAGCUCUUUCUUGAUUUAGGGGGGGGUGGUGCAUGGCCGUUCUUAGUUGGUGGAGCGAUUUGUCUGGUUAAUUCCGAUAACGAACGAGACUCUAGCCUAUUAAAUAGACGCCGCGCUCUCUUGGCGCGCGGUGGACUUCUUAGAGGGAUAAGCGGCGACCCAGCCGAAAGAUUAAAAAGCAUUUACUGGCUGCGAUGCCCUUAGAUGUGCCGGGGCCGCCCGCGCGCUACAAUAAAAACGAUCCGGCGUGCUUAACUUCCCGCUCCGGUAGGGAGUAAAUAAACCAAAUGAACCCUUCUUCGGGGGAAGGGAUGGGGCUUUUGUAACCAUUUGCCCAUUGAAAGAAUAAAUUCCUCGGAGGUUCAAGGCUUUGCUUGAUUUGAUUACUCCCCUGCCCUUCGUACCCACCCGCCUUUCCCUACUAUGCA
rnacentral:rRNA from 1 species